GUGUGGAGCUCUGGGUUAUAUCUGAUGGGCUACAUUUUCUCUUUGUUUUGCGAAUGGAACAUUUCAAGCACUAUGCUACUCUAGAUAGGUUAACGUGCAUUCAUCGGGUAUACAUUUGUUACCCCAAACGACUAGUUAGAGAUGGGUCAUCUAAGUUGUUAUUGUUUUUCAUAUCCUGUUUUGUUGGGUUGCCUCAUCCAUCUCAAAAAUCAUCAGGUCAGCAUGGGGGUAGAGAAUAUCUAAAAGCCUUGAGACCUGUUCAGACCUAUCGCUGUCUCACAUUUUCUCGCCAACACACACAAACACACACACACACACACACAUUAUUUGUAUUUAUUUUGUAUCAUAAACUAGCUCAGACAAGACCCGAAAAAAAUUAAUCAAACUGAUGACGCACCUCAAAAUAUUUUGUUUGGCUAAAAUGAAAUGAUUACAAAUACUUCACUAAGCAAAGGUGCCUCCCUAAAGACCAAUUUGGAAUGAUUUGUUGUCCCAGUGUACGGCAGUCUGGGGGUGAGGUUAUAUAAAGGAGGUCUGAGGAGGAGAUUGGGCAUUCCUCUGAAACACCCGAGACACAUCACGAAGAGGUCAACCUGGUGCCGUGUCCACUGCUGCCAUCAUCAUGUCCAAACUGAUCUGUGGGCUUCUCCUCCUGGUCGUCGUGGUGUCCUUUUGGUGCGACAACAGAGUCUCUGCUUCCAAAUGGGUUCCGAGGAACAUGCGGAGGUGCUGGUGCAAAGGUAUGCAUGAGUGUUGCAUGAGUGCUGCUUAGGAAUUAAUGACAGCGAUGAAUUGUGUUUGUUGACACCAAUGCCCAAAUGCACCUAAUCACUGUAGUGUCCUGCAAACCCAGGAAAGACCAUUAGCACCGUCCAGCUUGUGUGACUGUGAAACCGUGGUGUAUCUGUCUCAAGAGAUGUCUAACUAAAGCACUUCGUUUAAUGGCUCUCUUUCUCUCCUCACUUCCCGAUGGAAAAGAGAACUGCCACAAGUCAUCGUCUCCAAAAACCGAUGUGGAAAAACUGAGAUUUCGGAAAUGCCUUUGCUUCCAACAUCAUCUGCUUAGUAAGUAUACAUUUUUAGCAGUAAAGGAAGACCGAUGAACUGAGAUAAUAUUUUGAGAACAGUGUUUUUGGAGGUGCCAGGCCAAAUCAAUUGUGUUAUUUUGUGAAUGGAGUGUUCAUUUAAUAAUAUUGUAGAUGUGUCUGCCAGUUAGAUUGGAGUCAUGGCUGAUCAAAGGCAUGGCUUGGAUAUAGUUGUUUCAAGAAAAUAUGUUGCAAGCUACUUAUUUGUUGCAUUCAAUUCUGAAAAUAAAUUGCUUGCUACUGUGUUUGGAUUUUUUAAUAAACAGUGGGGUGAUGUGUGUUGCACUGUUACAAUAGUAGUUGAAGACUGAAGUGUCUGAUACGUGUGAAAUAUGCAGUUUGCAGUGGAAGUAUAUUACACAAACAAAAAUGUAAAGGGCAAAAUGUACUGUGUAUGUAGCAUGCAGUAAGUAGAUACUUUCAUUGCAUUACAUCAUCAUCAUCAGUUUUCUUUUUAGGUAAGUUGCAUUAUUCUUAGUGAAUUGUUUUGCUCUCCAUAACUCUGUCUGUCUGUCUUCCUUUCUGUGUAGAAUUCAAGGACAUGUCUGUCUUGGACAUCCAGAAGAAAUGCAAUCACACGCCAAAAUAUCCCAUUCCGAGCAAUCCCAUCGGAUUCCUGUGAGGAUGAAAGGGCUCCCUUUAUCUCUCUGUGCUGUUAGAAAUCGGCCGUUUCGUAUAGUGGUUGUAAUAAUUAGAUUACCCGUUUGUCAAGGGAGAGAGAAAUUAUAUUAUUUAUUGCAGCAUUAGAAAGUCUUGUUCAUGAGGUUACGGACCUGGUCUUCCUUACACAACCUCAAUCUCAUCUCACUCAAUCUAUUCUCACUGUAAUGUUGGUUACAAGCUGAUAUAUACAUUGAAGGGGGUGUCUACCUAGCAAAGAUCAGGUUUCCAAGACAGUUACCUCCAUGCCAAAUGGUCAAUGUAAACAUUCCUGUGGUUAGUAGAGCACAACCUACAGAGAGAUAAUCUACACAGAGAUGUUUCUGUUGUUCUCAUUAUCUAGGCGCAUUCACCUACAAUGAAACGUACAUUCACAUUGUAAUUGUUAAUGCUCAGAUACCACAAUGCCUUUCUGUCAAAUCCUUUUAAAUCAUUGUUAUACCUGCAGCAUUGAUUGAAAUAUGUAAAUUAAAUAAAGGUUUUCACCAUAUUGUCAAUGUAUUUGUGUUGAUCCACCAGCUUUGUAGACAAUAUUUACAUCUGCAAGUAGAAAAGAAUAUUGUACUCCGUAUGCAAAUAAAUGAUAAAGCAUCCACU
ensembl:lncRNA